GAGGAAACUUGUGCUAAUACCGGAUAAGUCUUUACAGAGAAAGCUUUAUGCACCAUUGGAUGAGCCUGCACUUGAUUAGUUUGUUGGUGGGGUAAUGGCCUACCAAGACUGUGAUCAAUAGCUGAUUUGAGAGGAUGAUCAGCCACAUUGGGACUGAGACACGGCCCAAACUCCUACGGGAGGCAGCAGUGGGGAAUCUUGCACAAUGGAGGAAACUCUGAUGCAGCGAUGCCGCGUGAGUGAAGAA
rnacentral:rRNA from 1 species